rnacentral:rRNA from 1 species
UGGCCGCGGUAUUUUGACCGUGCGAAGGUAGCAUAAUCAAUAGUCUAUUAAAUGUGGUCUGGAAUGAAGGGUUUGACGAGAGGUAACUUUUUUAAUCUUAUUGAUGAAUUUUAAUUAUUAGUGAAAAUGCUGAUGUGAAUUAGGGGGACGAGAAGACCCUAUAGAGCUUUAUAUAUGUUUGGGUAUUUAGUGGUAUAAUUAUUAUGAAAUAUAUUUUGUUGGGGCGACAAUAAAUUGAAUCAUUUAUUAAGAUGGUCUAUUAUAGUAGAUAGGUUGAUCCAUUUUUUAUGAUUAGUAGACUAAGUUACCUUAGGGAUAACAGCGUAAUUUUAUCUUAGAGUUCUUAUCGAUGAUGAAGUUUGCGACCUCGAUGUUGGAUUAAGUUUCUCUUAAGGCGCAGCAGUUUUAAGGAGUAGUCUGUUCGACUAUUAAAUACUUACA